rnacentral:rRNA from 1 species
AAAACGGGUGGUAAUGCCGGAUGUUCCACAUGAUCGCAUGUGAUUGUGGGAAAGAUUCUAUCGGCGUGGGAUGGGGUCGCGUCCUAUCAGCUUGUUGGUGAGGUAACGGCUCACCAAGGCUUCGACGGGUAGCCGGCCUGAGAGGGCGACCGGCCACAUUGGGACUGAGAUACGGCCCAGACUCCUACGGGAGGCAGCAGUGGGGAAUAUUGCACAAUGGGCGCAAGCCUGAUGCAGCGACGCCGCGUGAGGGAUGGAGGCCUUCGGGUUGUAAACCUCUUUUGUUUGGGAGCAAGCCUUCGGGUGAGUGUACCUUUCGAAUAAGCGCCGGCUAACUACGUGCCAGCAGCCGCGGUAAUACGUAGGGCGCAAGCGUUAUCCGGAUUUAUUGGGCGUAAAGGGCUCGUAGGCGGCUCGUCGCGUCCGGUGUGAAAGUCCAUCGCUUAACGGUGGAUCUGCGCCGGGUACGGGCGGGCUGGAGUGCGGUAGGGGAGACUGGAAUUCCCGGUGUAACGGUGGAAUGUGUAGAUAUCGGGAAG